GGAGGAGUAGCCAAGCGGUCCACGGCAACGGUUUGCUAAACCGUGACGGGUUAACACCUGUCCGCGGGUUCGAAUCCCGCCUCCUCCGCCA
rnacentral:tRNA from 1 species